rnacentral:rRNA from 1 species
UACGGAGGGUGCAAGCGUUAAUCGGAAUUACUGGGCGUAAAGCGCGCGUAGGCGGCUUGUUAAGCGAGAUGUGAAAGCCCCGGGCUUAACCUGGGAACUGCAUUUCGAACUGGCAGGCUUGAGUACAGCAGAGGUAAGUGGAAUUUCUUGUGUAGCGGUGAAAUGCGUAGAUAUAAGAAGGAACACCAGUGGCGAAGGCGACUUACUGGGCUGAUACUGACGCUGAGGUGCGAAAGCGUGGGGAGCGAACAGG